GCUGAAGAACGUAGCGAAAUGCGAUACGUAAUGUGAAUUGCAGAAUUCAGUGAAUCAUCGAAUCUUUGAACGCAUAUUGCGCUCUCUGGUAUUCCGGAGAGCAUGCUUGUUUGAGUAUCAGUAAACACCUCAACUUCCAUAUCUUUUUUGAAAUGGGAGUUGGACUUGAGUGAUCCCAACGCUUUUCCUCACCGAAAAGUGGCGGGUUACUUGAAAUGCAGGUGCAGCUGGACUUUUCUCUGAGCUAUAAGCAUAUCUAUUUAGUCUGCCUAAAAAACAGAUUAUUACCUUUGCUGCAGCUAACAUAAAGGAGAUUAGUUCUUGUGCUGACUGAUGCAGGAUUCACAAAGACAGGCUUCGGCCGACUUUGUAAACUCGAUCUCAAAUCAAGUAAGACUACCCGCUGAACUUAAGCAUAUCAAUAAGCGGAGGA
rnacentral:misc_RNA from 1 species